AACAUCUACAGAGGGAUGAGAAAAAGAGGGCAACCAAUUUUAUAUAUUUUCUACACACUUGAGGCUGCCAUUAUUAUAUAGACACGUACGGAAAUUGAGGGAGAGAAAAUACUAUAUUUUAUACACACUUUUGAGGCUGAGAUUGGAGAAAAACCGAGAAAGGGGGAGAAUUUUUUCCGCUGCCAUUAAAAGGGAUACAAAGAGAUACAUACGCAGGAGACCAUUGGGAGAAAUAAUUUUAAUGGCUGUCUUUAUUAUCUAUACAUAUAGAAAUUGAGGCACGGUGAAGGACGGUUGCUACUCAAUUACAUACAAAAAGGAGGCAGAAUUUAUAUAGGCAUACACGGCAAAAGAUGGUGACACGCGGCAGAUUUACUUUUACAAAUUAUUCACGUUUUGUCAAUUAACCGGGUGAUAAAAUUCAUGAUAAUUUCUUAUUUUUCUUUCAUUAACAUGGUAGCUAAAUUUAAUUUUAGGGCGAAUAAUAUAAUCUAUUUGAGACUUUUAUUUCUAUCAUUUGAGAUUUUUUGUUCUUUUAUAUUUUAUGUGUGGAUUUUAAUUAUGUUCUUAAUGCUUUAAAUUUUUUGUCCAAUUAUUGAAUGAUUAUGUGAAUAAUAAUUACGUAGUGAUGUGAAUUUUUGUUUAGACCACAUAUUAAAAUUCGAUAAAUUUAUGUAAUGUGUAGAGAUACCUACAUUAAUUGCUGCGGCCCUAUAGGAAUUCUUAGAAUUGUUAUUUCGUUUAAAUAAUGUUGAUUCGCACAGAUAUAUGGAAUUGAAUUAUUUAAAUAGAUUUAAUGAGAACUCAAGAGGGGUAAAUUAAAUACUAUAUAAGAAUUCAACCGAACAUGACUUUAGUUUUAUGAAUCUCUAUAUUAGAAGUAAAGGUGAACAAUAGGUGAAUUUGUUCCGCCCUAAUAUCCAUUCAUUAUUUGAAUUCUCAAUUACUCUUGUUGCAUUCGCAUUUUAAGUAGUUAGAUUUAAAAUCACAAUUAAUCAUCGUUUUUUUUUAUCAAAUAGAAGUUAGGAAUAAUAAAUUAAGUAUUAAAGUAUAAUUCUCGUAGGAACAAUAAUUCGGACUCAAAAGGUCAACUUUACUACUUGUUACGAUCCGUACAUUUGCGGAAUAAAAUCAACAACAAUUGUUAUAAAUAUCAUUUCACUUUGCUUCAUUAUAACACUUUUAGAGAGUAUUUAAGUAAAAUAUUCUUGAGCUAAAUUAUUUUAUAAAUUUUAUUUAUUUUUAUCAAUUCAUUCACUUUGAAAUUUUUUUUUUGAUUUAAUUAAACUUUGAAAAUCAUUCUUUUCAUCAAAUGUUUC
rnacentral:lncRNA from 1 species